rnacentral:rRNA from 1 species
GACGAACGCUGGCGGCGUGCUUAACACAUGCAAGUCGAACGGAAAGGCCCUGCUUUUGUGGGGUGCUCGAGUGGCGAAAGGGUGAGUAACACGUGAGUAACCUGCCCUUGACUUUGGGAUAACUUCAGGAAACUGGGGCUAAUACCGGAUAGGAGCUCCUGCUGCAUGGUGGGGGUUGGAAAGUUUCGGCGGUUGGGGAUGGACUCGCGGCUUAUCAGCUUGUUGGUGGGGUAGUGGCUUACCAAGGCGUUGACGGGUAGUCGGCCUGUGAGGGUGACCGGCCACAUUGGGACUGAGAUACGGCCCAGACUCCUACGGGAGGCAGCAGUGGGGAAUAUUGCACAAUGGGCGGAAGCCAGAUGCAGCAACGCCGCGUGCGGGAUGACGGCCUUCGGGUUGUAAACCGCUUUCGCCUGUGACGAAGCGUGAGUGACGGUAAUGGGUAAAGAAGCACCGGCUAACUACGUG